rnacentral:rRNA from 1 species
GCAGUAGCCACGGGAAUACGGAGGAUCCAAGCGUUAUCUGGAAUCAUUGGGUUUAAAGGGUCCGUAGGCGGUCUUGUAAGUCAGUGGUGAAAGCCCAUCGCUCAACGGUGGAACGGCCAUUGAUACUGCAGGACUUGAAUUAUUGGGAAGUAACUAGAAUAUGUAGUGUAGCGGUGAAAUGCUUAGAGAUUACAUGGAAUACCAAUUGCGAAGGCAGGUUACUACCAAUUGAUUGACGCUGAUGGACGAAAGCGUGGGUAGCGAACAGGAUUAGAUACCCGCGUAGUCCCUGUCUCUUAUAC